rnacentral:rRNA from 1 species
AUUGAACGCUGGCGGCAUGCUUUACACAUGCAAGUCGAACGGUAACAGCACUUCGGUGGCUGACGAGUGGCGCACGGGUGAGUAAUACAUCGGAACGUGCCUAGUAGUGGGGGAUAACUACUCGAAAGAGUAGCUAAUACCGCAUGAGAUCUAAGGAUGAAAGCAGGGGACCUUCGGGCCUUGCGCUACUAGAGCGGCUGAUGGCAGAUUAGGUAGUUGGUGGGAUAAAAGCUUACCAAGCCGACGAUCUGUAGCUGGUCUGAGAGGACGACCAGCCACACUGGGACUGAGACACGGCCCAGACUCCUACGGGAAGCAGCAGUGGGGAAUUUUGGACAAAGGGCGCAAGCCUGAUCCAGCAAUGCCGCGUGCAGGAUGAAGGCCUUCGGGUUGUAAACUGCUUUUGUACGGAACGAAAAGCCCUCUUCUAAUACAGGAGGGUCAUGACGGUACCGGAAGAAUAAGCACCGGCUAACUACGUG